rnacentral:rRNA from 1 species
UGGGGAAUAUUGCACAAUGGGCGCAAGCCUGAUGCAGCCAUGCCGCGUGUAUGAAGAAGGCCUUCGGGUUGUAAAGUACUUUCAGCGGGGAGGAAGGGAGUAAAGUUAAUACCUUUGCUCAGUGACGUUACCCGCAGAAGAAGCACCGGCUAACUCCGUGCCAGUAGCCGCGGUAAUACGGAGGGUGCAAGCGUUAAUCGGAAUUACUGGGCGUAAAGCGCACGCAGGCGGUUUGUUAAGUCUGAUGAGAAAUCCCCGGGCUCAACCUGGGAACUGCAUCUGAUACUGGCAAGCUAGCGUCUCGUAGAGGGGGGUAGAAUUCCAGGUGUAGCGGUGAAAUGCGUAGAGAUCUGGAGGAAUACCGGUGGCGAAGGCGGCCCCCUGGACGAAGACUGACGCUCAGGUGCGAAAGCGUGGGGAGCAAACAGG